rnacentral:rRNA from 1 species
GACGAACGCUGGCGGCGUGCCUAAUACAUGCAAGAUGAGCGCUGAAGGUUGGUACUUGUACCGACUGGAUGAGCAGCGAACGGGUGAGUAACGCGUGGGGAAUCUGCCUUUGAGCGGGGGACAACAUUUGGAAACGAAUGCUAAUACCGCAUAAAAACUUUAAACACAAGUUUUAAGUUUGAAAGAUGCAAUUGCAUCACUCAAAGAUGAUCCCGCGUUGUAUUAGCUAGUUGGUGAGGUAAAGGCGCACCAAGGCGAUGAUACAUAGCCGACCUGAGAGGGUGAUCGGCCACAUUGGGACUGAGACACGGCCCAAACUCCUACGGGAGGCAGCAGUAGGGAAUCUUCGGCAAUGGACGAAAGUCUGACCGAGCAACGCCGCGUGAGUGAAGAAGGUUUUCGGAUCGUAAAACUCUGUUGGUAGAGAAGAACGUUGGUGAGAGUGGAAAGCUCAUCAAGUGACGGUAACUACCCAGAAAGGGACGGCUAACUACGUGCCAGCCGCCGCAGUAA